GUGAACGCUGGCGAUAGGCCUAACACAUGCCAGUCGCACGGCAGCACAGUAAGCGCUUGCUCUUACGGGUGGCGAGUGGCGGACGGGUGAGGAAUACAUCGGAAUCUACUUUUUCGUGGGUGAUAACGUAGGGAAACUUACGCUAAUACCGCAUACGACCUACGGGUGAAAGCAGGGGAUCUUCGGACCUUGCGCGAUUGAAUGAGCCGAUGUCGGAUUAGCUAGUUGGCGGGGUAAAGGCCCACCAAGGCGACGAUCCGUAGCUGGUCUGAGAGGAUGAUCAGCCACACUGGAACUGAGACACGGUCCAGACUCCUACGGGAGGCAGCAGUGGGGAAUAUUGGACAAAGGGCGCAAGCCUGAUCCAGCCAUACCGCGUGGGUGAAGAAGGCCUUCGGGUUGUAAAGCCCUUUUGUUGGGAAAGAAAAGCAGCAGGUUAAUACCCCGCUGUUCUGACGGUACCCAAAGAAUAAGCACCGGCUAACUUCGUG
rnacentral:rRNA from 1 species